rnacentral:rRNA from 1 species
CAUACGGGUUGAAGCAUGACCGUAAGGACAUGUGGACAGUAUGGGAGUGAGAAUGUUGGCAUGAGUAGCGAGAUGUGGGUGAGAAUCCCACAGGCCGUAAACCCAAGGUUUCCAGGGGAAGGUUCGUCCGCCCUGGGUUAGUCGGGACCUAAGCUGAGGCCGAAAGGCGUAGGUGAUGGACAACAGGUUGAUAUUCCUGUACUACCGAUAACCGUUUGAGAGAAGGGAUGACACAGUAGGAUAAGCUAAGCACACUGUUGGUUAUGUGUGCCCAAGCAUUGAGGCAGUCAAAGCAGGCAAAUCCGCUUUGAUAAUGCUGGGAUGUGAUGGGGAGCGAAAUUUAGUAGCGAAGUAGCUGAUUUCACACUGUCAAGAAAAGUCUCUAUCGAGGUUAAAGGUACCCGUACCGCAAACCGACACAGGUGGGUGAGGAGAGUAUCCUAAGGCCAGCGAGAGAACUGUUGUUAAGGAACUCGGCAAAAUGACCCCGUAACUUAGGGAUAAGGGGUGCCACCAUCCGGUGGCCGCAGAGAAUAGGCCCAAGCGACUGUUUACCAAAAACAUAGGUUUCUGCUAAGUCGCAAGACGAUGUAUAGGAGCUGACGCCUGCCCGGUGCUGGAAGGUUAAGGGGAUCUGUUAGAGCAAUCGAAGCAGUGAACUUAAGCCCCAGUAAACGGCGGCCGUAACUAUAACGGUCCUAAGGUAGCGAAAUUCCUUGUCGGGUAAGUUCCGACCCGCACGAAAGGCGUAACGAUUUGGGCACUGUCUCAACAACAGACUCGGUGAAAUUGUAAUUCCGGUGAAGAUGCCGGAUACCUGCGACAGGACGGAAAGACCCCAUGGAGCUUUACUGUAGCUUGACAUUGGGUCUUGGUACUACAUGUACAGGAUAGGUGGGAGGCUUUGAAACCAGGACGCCAGUUUUGGCGGAGCCAUCCUUGGGAUACCACCCUUGUAGUACUGGGACUCUAACCAUAGGCCAUGAAUCUGGUCUUGGGACACUGUCAGGUGGGCAGUUUGACUGGGGCGGUCGCCUCCCAAAAGGUAACGGAGGCGCUCAAAGGUUCUCUCAGUACGGUCGGAAAUCGUACGUAGAGUGUAAAGGCAAAAGAGAGCUUGAUUGCAAGACAUACAGGUCGAGCAAGGAUGAAAAUCGGACUUAGUGAUCCGGUGGUUCUGCGUGGAAGGGCCAUCGCUCAACGGAUAAAAGCUACCCUGGGGAUAACAGGCUUAUCUCCCCCAAGAGUCCACAUCGACGGGGAGGUUUGGCACCUCGAUGUCGGCUCAUCACAUCCUGGGGCUGUAGUAGGUCCCAAGGGUUGGGCUGUUCGCCCAUUAAAGUGGUACGCGAGCUGGGUUCAGAACGUCGUGAGACAGUUCGGUCCCUAUCCGUCGCAGGCGUAGGAAAUUUGAGAAGACCUGUCCUUAGUACGAGAGGACCGGGAUGGACG